rnacentral:rRNA from 1 species
UACGUAGGGGGCAAGCGUUGUCCGGAAUCAUUGGGCGUAAAGCGCGUGUAGGCGGCCCGGUAAGUCCGCUGUGAAAGUCGGGGGCUCAACCCUCGAAUGCCGGUGGAUACUGUCGGGCUAGAGUGCGGAAGAGGCGAGUGGAAUUCCUGGUGUAGCGGUGAAAUGCGCAGAUAUCAGGAGGAACACCAAUUGCGAAGGCAGCUCGCUGGGACGUCACUGACGCUGAGACGCGAAAGCGUGGGGAGCAAACAGG